AACGAACGCUGGCGGCAUGCCUAACACAUGCAAGUCGAACGAACCCUUCGGGGUUAGUGGCGCACGGGUGCGUAACGCGUGGGAACCUGCCUUUAGGUUCGGAAUAACUCAGAGAAAUUUGAGCUAAUACCGGAUAAUGUCUUCGGACCAAAGAUUUAUCGCCUUUAGAUGGGCCCGCGUUAGAUUAGAUAGUUGGUGGGGUAAUGGCCUACCAAGUCGACGAUCUAUAGCUGGUCUGAGAGGAUGAUCAGCCACACUGGGACUGAGACACGGCCCAGACUCCUACGGGAGGCAGCAGUGGGGAAUAUUGGACAAUGGGCGAAAGCCUGAUCCAGCAAUGCCGCGUGAGUGAUGAAGGCCUUAGGGUUGUAAAGCUCUUUUACCAGGGAUGAUAAUGACAGUACCUGGAGAAUAAGCUCCGGCUAACUCCGUGCCAGCAGCCGCGGUAAUACGGAGGGAGCUAGCGUUGUUCGGAAUUACUGGGCGUAAAGCGCGCGUAGGCGGCGAUCCAAGUCAGGGGUGAAAUCCCGGGGCUCAACCCCGGAACUGCCCUUGAAACUAGGUUGCUAGAAUACUGGAGUGGUGAGUGGAAUUCCGAGUGUAGAGGUGAAAUUCGUAGAUAUUCGGAAGAACACCAGUGGCGAAGGCGACUCACUGGACAGUUAU
rnacentral:rRNA from 1 species